UGGAGGAGACGGUUACUGUUUAAUCCCAUUUGACAGCUCUUUCAUCAUCUGCCUGCCUCCCUCCAGCUUCCCGUGGCUCCUCCAAGGCUCCUUUGUGGCCGUAAUCAAAGCCUGCUCUUUCAGGACUGAGACUCAGUUUCCGUGCCUUGGCUUCCCCCAGUGCUGACCAGUGCCACACCAGUGCCACAGUGAUGGAGCCAUCAAUCCUGUGUGAAGCAGAGAAGAAAAGGCACGUUUAGCCAGCCCUGUGCAGUGCGGUCACACUGUCCCCUGUGCAAUGUUCUGCAGCCCCAAGGAUGUUUCUCCUCCCUGCCUGGCCCAGGACAUGUCAUCCCUCACUUGGAGAGCAAAUUAAGGAUUGGUUGAGUUAAUUUGCUGCAGAUGAUUGUUUGAGGAGUGAAUAACCAAAAAAGCUGGUCAAAAGCCCAAUUUUCUUCCCUCCUGGAGGCUUUCUGAAGGACUUUCUGGAGCUCCUUUCUCCUGGAGGCUUUCUGGAUGGUGGCUGGUGUCCCAUGCUGUGCCCUGAGGAAGGCCUGGGCUGCCUUUGCGGGGGGAACUUCAGCUGGCUUCCUCCCCACCCUGUUCCUCCUGCUCUCCCCCAAAUCUGCACCAAGAAACAAGUAUAUUGUUUGCAAGCUAAAAACUAGAAAUGAUUUAUAUGUUUAUAAGCCCAGCUCUGGCUCCAUUUAUUUUGGCAAAGGAAUUGUUUGCAUCUUUGCAGAAUUCCUUCACCAAAACCACUCAUUAGAUAUGAAUUUCAAAACAGCCAGAGGGAGCGGGUGACUCAGGGGAAUUAGCAAAUGGCUUCUCAAAGACUUUUACGUCAGGGACAACAGCUUGAUUCCAGAUCUCAGUGCCAGUGGCCCAGAAGACAUUGUCAUCUCAUGUUGGGUCAGCGACCGUGAGUCAACCAGUGCAUUUGAGGACCUUGGUCUUUGACUCUGAGCUGGCAGGUGUCUUCACCAUGAGAAACCUCAGCCAAGGGAGAAGCCAGAAAAGACAGGAGGAGAAGGAUUCCAUCAAUGAGCUUUCACUAGAAACGACAACAUCAGCUACAAGAGCUGACAGAAGAGUGAUGUUCUACCAUAGCUCUUUCACUCCAGUGUGACGAUCUGGGAGUUUCUGAAAAGGACAUUUGAAGACGGUCAGCUUUGAGGUCUGAAGAUGGGGCGAGUGUGACCACUUGUGCCUCUGCUGUGGGUUUAAGGACCACCUUAUCUUUCACCUGGAAGUUAUUAAGAAAGUUGUGCACAGAGAUGAUUCCAGUUAUCACUUUCCUGCUUCAGACAAGAACUCACAAAGCAACCAGUGGUGUGAUGAUGUCCCAUCACCCUGUCCUGGCAGAGCUGCUUGACUUGGGCGGGCACUGGGAAUGGGAGCAGCUUCUCAGGCUGGUUUAGCAGAGGAGAUGUGUGCAGGUAGGACAUUGUUCUGUGAUGGCACUGUGCGGGCUCUGGACAAUUUUGGUGCCCUCAGAAACAUCUGUUUGGGGCAAGGGGACAGGCACGUGUUUGUGGAAGAAGGUCUUUGAGGAGUGAGAGCGGCUGAGGUCCCCCUGGUCAGAGGGGAGUCUUCCACCCUGGGCCAGGCAGCCUGGACCAGCAGAGGUGUCCUGUCCUCUGAACCUCCAUGGGUCCCCGGUGCUGGUGUCCCCAGCCUGUGUGUCACCUGCUCUCUCUGGAGGCACAGCUGCAGCUCUGGCAGGCAGCGUGCCCUGCAGCAGCUGGUCCGUAUCCGCGCGUGUCAGCUCGUGGUGCCACCAGGCUCCUGGUCUCCAUCCCCACUCUGCCCCAAGCCGCCCCGCGCCCCCGCCUCGCUGCGCUGACUCGCUCCCCAGCCAGCCUUGCUCCUUGUCUCACAAGCAGAGAUCAAAAUAAACUCAAGUGAAGGGUCCUUUAACUUUCUCUACUCGAGUGAAAAUAAAUGCGCUUUCCCCACCACCCAGCCCUGUAAAUUCCCUGCACUGUGAAAUAUCUUCCAGAUAUAGUAAAGAGACGGCUUUUGACUAUUUUUUUUAAACAUCUUUAACUGCUGUAUAUAUUUCCAGGGAGACGUAAUAAGCGCUACAGCUAAUUUAUCUGCGUGUACUGUAAAUAUUUUCAGGAGAUAGCAGAAAGGAUUUCAAACACAUGGCUGGGAGUAUUGGCACACAGCAUAGGCUGGGUGGGAAGGACACCUUUAACCAUUUGCGUGCCAUGUCCUUUCUUUGUGCUCCUCUCUCUGUGUCCCCAGCGCAGCAUCUCCUUGCCAGCCCAGGGCUGUCCUUCUAGCUGAUGUCCAGCCAGAUGUUUGAUUUGAACAGAGUGCUGAGGCUUGUUCUUCCGUUUGACCUUGUAGUCCUUGCUCUGGGGGCACUGGGAGUUCAGCUGGGAGUCCCCCUCCUGACCUACUGCCCGGAGCCGUGCCUCAGUCCCUACACCCCUGCCCAUGUGUGA